GUAGAAUAGUAGUGGUAAAUAUAAACUGGUUUGUUCGUUUCUUUUAAUAAAUAAUAUCAACCCUAGUAUACAAUGUAAUUUUUCCUUUUUUCUCCGUCCUUUCCCGCUCUUUUUAACAAUCCCCCAUCGCUCCUGAUGGCCCGCUUUGUCCAACAUUAACACAAUAUAUACAUAUACAUCAUCCCCUAUCACAAAUAGAUAAAAUGAAUACUGUUCGUAAACAUUCGUGUUUACUUGUAAACUGGAAUGGUCGUCCGUUUCCGUUGACUUCGUCUAGGCGGUGGUGCUGUAUCUCUCUUUUCCAGGCAGUAGCUCUCGUCGUCGUCAUCGUGCUCAAUUACUUCUGGCCAUUG